ACGAAAGUCUGACCGAGCAACGCCGCGUGAGUGAAGAAGGUUUUCGGAUCGUAAAACUCUGUUGUUAGAGAAGAACAAGGGUGAGAGUAACUGUUCACCCCUUGACGGUAUCUAACCAGAAAGCCACGGCUAACUACGUGCCAGCACCGCGGUAAUACAUAGGUGG
rnacentral:rRNA from 1 species